GUCGCUUCUCGGCCUUUUGGCUAAGAUCAAGUGUAGUAUCUGCUCUUAUCAGUUUAAUAUCUGAUACAUCCUCUAUCCGAGGACAAUAUAUUAAUUGGAUUUUUUGGAGCAGGGAGUUGGAAUAGGAGCUUGCUCCGUCCACUCCACUUAACGACCUCGCAUUGCAGUACUUUCAGGAACGGUGAAAAAAAA
rnacentral:snRNA from 1 species